CCUACGUGAGGCAGCAGUGGGGGAUAUUGCACAAUGGGGGAAACCCUGAUGCAGCGACGCCGCGUGUGGGAAGACGGUCCUCUGGAUUGUAAACCACUGUCCCCAGGGACGAAGAUGACGGUACCUGGGGAGUAAGCUCCGACUAACUACGUGCCAGCAGCCGCGGUAAUACGUAGGGAGCGAGGGUUGUCCGGAUUUACUGGGUGUAACGGGAGCGUAGGGGGGACUGCAAGUUGGCGGUAAAAUCUACCGGCUCAACCGGUAGGCGCACUUAAAACUGCAGUUCGUGAGUGAAGUAGAGGCAGGCGGAAUGCGUAGUGUAGCGGUGAAAUGCGUAGAUAUUAGGAGGAACACCAGUGGCGAAGGCGGCCUGCUGGGCUUUAACUGACGCUGAGGCUCGAAAGUGUGGGGAGCAAACAGGAUUAGAUACCCCAGUAGUC
rnacentral:rRNA from 1 species